GAUUAACGCUAGCGGCAGGCAUAAUACAUGCAAGUUGAACGGCAGCACAGGUAGCAAUACUGGGUGGCGAGUGGCGCACGGGUGCGUAACACGUAUGCAACCUACCCUAUACAGGCGAAUAACCUUUAGAAAUGAGGGCUAAUACGCCGUAGUAUUACAGAUGGGCAUCUAUUUGUAAUUAAAGAUUUAUCGGUAUAGGAUGGGCAUGCGUCCCAUUAGUUAGUUGGUAAGGUAACGGCUUACCAAGACGAUGAUGGGUAGGGGAUCUGAGAGGACUUACCCCCCCGCUGGUACUGAGACCCGGACCAGACUCCUACGGGAGGCAGCAGUAAGGAAUAUUGGGCAAUGGCCGCGAGGCUGACCCAGCCAUGCCGCGUGCAGGAAGACGGCCUUAUGGGUUGUAAACUGCUUUUAUACGGGAAUAAUAGAGUGUACGCGUACAUUUAUGCAAGUAUCGUAUGAAUAAGCAUCGGCUAACUCCGUG
rnacentral:rRNA from 1 species